AAUGGACCAGAGGGAAAACCUUAGUUGUCAAUAUCUAACACCCCUCCCCUCUUAGUUGGAGCAAUCCAGUCUGCAUACGUAGUCACGCAGUGACAGAAUAUGCAGGGUGAACAUGUGAAUUUAAUAUGUCCUAUAAUAUCAAACUAGAAUGAAGAUUUUGCAAAUCUUCUACUCCAAUUUUAUUCCACAAAAUAUGUUUAGAAUUAAAACAUGCAUUGGAUUGCUCUUGGAUCUUGGAUGGGUACCCUGGCUUUGGGUCAACUUUUCAGGCAGCAGAAAUAUUCUGUUUGGAAGGAAAAGAGACAAGAAGAAGAAAAUCUCAAACAAACAAAAACAUAUUUAAAAGAACUGUGAAAAAAAUUGGCUUUACAAUUACUAUUUGCCUCACAAUCAAACAUAAGCACAACAAUUAGCUUUGUAAAAUUAAAAGACUACGCAGUGAAAGGCCAAAACAAAA